UCGAGAAUCAUUCGCAAUGGGCGAAAGCCUGACGAUGCGACGCCGUGUGAGCGAUGAAGGCCUUAGGGUCGUAAAGCUCUUUCGCUUGGGAACAAGAGAAGCAGGCUAAUAUCCUGCAAAUUUGAGGGUACCAGGUAAAGAAGCACCGGCUAACUCCGUGCCAGCAGCUGCGGUAAUACGGAGGGUGCAAGCAUUAAUCGGAUUUAUUGGGCGUAAAGGGCGCGUAGGCGGAAAGAUAAGUCAGAUGUGAAAUCCCGGGGCUCAACCCCGGAACAGCAUUUGAAACUGCCUUUCUAGAGGAUAGAUGGAGAAAACGGAAUUCCACAAGUAGCGGUGAAAUGCGUAGAUAUGUGGAAGAACACCGGUGGCGAAGGCGGUUUUCUAAUUUAGACCUGACGCUGAGGCGCGAAAGCAAGGGGAUCAAACAGG
rnacentral:rRNA from 1 species